UGGGCUGCAGCCUGGAAGCCACAUUCUGGCCUCAGGUCCAUGAAGGGCUCUUUCCGGGACAUUUAGGGGUGGCAUUAGAAAAGGCUGCCUCUGCAGUGGCUCUCACAUGGCCGCCUGGCCCCGGCUCUUGUGCAGCAGGCCACCACUCUGCUGGAGGGGUGGUCCCCUUCUCCGUCCUCCCCAGCACAAGGGAACCCAGUGGCCCUGCUCUGCAGCUGGCAGGAAAGGCCCUGCGUGAAUGGUGUAAAGGCCUCCUCGGAGCCACACAGGGACAGCGCUGUUGGUACUUUGCUGCCAUCGAACCUCAGCUUCAUGAGCUUUGCUGAUGCCCCUCGUAGCCGGAGGACACCUUGGAGGCCCUGCUCCGUGUGGUGCUGUCUGAAUGCCCCUCUGCCUGGACUCAGACCCCCUGCCUCUGGCCUGGCCACUCUGGGCAGCGCAGCCUGUCCCUCCCUACGUUCAGCCUGGACUGGAUGGCGACUCACAGCAGACCGACCACAGGGCAUACUCAGUGUGGAGUGA
rnacentral:lncRNA from 1 species